UACGAAGGGGGCUAGCGUUGUUCGGAAUUACUGGGCGUAAAGGGCGCGUAGGCGGAUUUUUAAGUCAGGGGUGAAAUCCCAAGGCUCAACCUUGGAACUGCCUUUGAUACUGGGGAUCUUGAGUCCGGGAGAGGUGAGUGGAACUGCGAGUGUAGAGGUGAAAUUCGUAGAUAUUCGCAAGAACACCAGUGGCGAAGGCGGCUCACUGGCCCGGAACUGACGCUGAGGCGCGAAAGCGUGGGGAGCAAACAGGG
rnacentral:rRNA from 1 species